AGUAAACGGCGGCCGUAACUAUAACGGUCCUAAGGUAGCGAAAUUCCUUGUCGGGCAAGUUCCGACCCGCACGAAAGGCGUAACGAUUUGGGCGCUGUCUCAGCUGUAGACUCGGUGAAGUCUUAGUACCUGUGAAGAUGCAGGUUGCCCGCGACUAGACGGAAAGACCCCAUGGAGCUUCACUGCAGGUUGACAUUGGGCUUGGAUGCAUGAUGUACAGGAUAGGUGGGAGGCUGUGAGCCGUGCGCGCCAGCGUACGGGGAGCCGCUGUUGGGAUACCACCCUUCAUGCAUCUAGGUCCUAACCGGAGGCAACGGGCCACGGGACAGUGUCAGUCGGGCAGUUUGACUGGGGCGGUCGCCUCCCAAAGAGUAACGGAGGCGCCCAAAGAUACCCUCAGCAUGGAUGGAAACCAUGCAUAGAGUGCAAAGGCAUAAGGGUGUCUGACUGCGAGACAUACAGGUCGAGCAGGGACGAAAGUCGGGCUUAGUGAUCCGGCGGAUCCGAAUGGAAGGGCCGUCGCUCAACGGAUAAAAGCUACCCUGGGGAUAACAGGCUGAUCUCCCCCAAGAGUUCACAUCGACGGGGAGGUUUGGCACCUCGAUGUCGGCUCAUCGCAUCCUGGAGCUGAAGUCGGUUCCAAGGGUUGGGCUGUUCGCCCAUUAAAGCGGUACGCGAGCUGGGUUCAGAACGUCGUGAGACAGUUCGGUCCCUAUCUGUCGUGGGCGCAGGAAAUUUGAGAAGAGCUGUCCUCAGUACGAGAGGACCGGGAUGGACGCAUCAAUGGUGGACCAGUUGUCACGCCAGUGGCAUAGCUGGGUAGCUAAAUGCGGAAGGGAUAAACGCUGAAGGCAUCUAAGUGUGAAACCCACUUCAAGAUGAGAUUUCCCAUUGCGCAAGCAAGUAAGACCCCUUAAAGACGAUAAGGUAGAUAGGUCAGGAGUGUAAGCAUGGUGACAUGUUAAGCGGACUGAUACUAAUAGGUCGAGGGCUUGACCGA
rnacentral:rRNA from 1 species